rnacentral:rRNA from 1 species
CCUACGGGUGGCAGCAGUAGGGAAUAUUGGGCAAUGGUCGAAAGACUGACCCAGCCAUGCCGCGUGAAGGAAGAAGGCCUUCUGGGUUGUAAACUUCUUUUAUCUGGGAAAAAAAUGCUCCUGCGGGGGUAACUGAUGGUACCAGAUGAAUAAGCACCGGCUAACUCCGUGCCAGCAGCCGCGGUAAUACGGAGGGUGCAAGCGUUGUCCGGAUUUAUUGGGUUUAAAGGGUGCGUAGGCGGCCUGUUAAGUCAGUGUUUAAAUACUGCGGCUCAACCGUAGACAUGGCAUUGAUACUGAUGGGCUUGAGUACAGUCGAGGUAGGCAGAAUUGACGGUGUAGCGGUGAAAUGCAUAGAUAUCGUCAAGAAUACCGAUUGCGAAGGCAGCUUACUAGGCUGUAACUGACGCUGAGGCACGAAAGUGUGGGGAUCAAACAGG